rnacentral:rRNA from 1 species
CGUGUAGGCGGGACUUUAAGUCAGAUGUGAAAUACCCGGGCUUAACUCGGGAGGUGCAUUUGAAACUGAGGUUCUUGAGUGGUGGAGAGGAAAGCGGAAUUCCUAGUGUAGCGGUGAAAUGCGUAGAUAUUAGGAGGAACACCAGUGGCGAAGGCGGCUUUCUGGACACUAACUGACGCUGAGGCGCGAAAGCGUGGGGAGCAAACA